GGGGAAUAUUGCACAAUGGGGGAAACCCUGAUGCAGCGACGCCGCGUGAAGGAAGAAGGUUUUCGGAUUGUAAACUUUUGUCUUUGGGGACGAAUAAUGACGGUACCCAAGGAGGAAGCCACGGCUAACUACGUGCCAGCAGCCGCGGUAAUACGUAGGUGGCGAGCGUUGUCCGGAUUUACUGGGUGUAAAGGGCGUGUAGGCGGGUUUUUAAGUCCGGUGUGAAAUGCCACGGCUCAACCGUGGAAUUGCACUAGCAACUGGAAAUCUUGAGUGCUGGAGAGGAAAGCGGAAUUCCUAGUGUAGCGGUGAAAUGCGUAGAUAUUAGGAGGAACACCAGUGGCGAAGGCGGCUUUCUGGACAGUAACUGACGCUGAGGCGCGAAAGCGUGGGGAGCAAAC
rnacentral:rRNA from 1 species